CCUACGGGAGGCAGCAGUGGGGAAUAUUGCUCAAUGGGCGAAACCCUGAAGCAGCAACGCCGCGUGCAGGAUGAAGGUUUUCUGAUUGUAAACUCCUUUUGGUAGAGAGGUUAAUGACGGUAGCUAACGAUUAAGCACCGUCUAACUCCGUGCCAGAAGCCGCGGUACUACGGAGGGUGCAAGCGUUACUCGGAAUCACUGGGCGUAAAGCGGGCGUAGGCGGGAUAGCAAGUCAGAUGUGAAAUCCUAUGGCUUAACCAUAGAACUGCAUUUGAAACUGUUAUUCUAGAGUAUGGGAGAGGUAGGUGGAAUGCUUGGGGUAGGGGUAAAAUGCGUAGAGAUCAAGAGGAAUACUCAUUGCGAAGGCGACCUGCUAGAACAUAACUGACGCUGAUGCGCGAAAGCGUGGGGAGCAAACAGGAUUAGAUACCCCAGUAGUC
rnacentral:rRNA from 1 species